UACGAAGGGUGCAAGCGUUGCUCGGAAUUACUGGGCGUAAAGCGUGCGUAGGUGGUCUGUUAAGUCUGAUGUGAAAGCCCUGGGCUCAACCUGGGAAUGGCAUUGGAAACUGGCGGGCUAGAGUGCGGUAGAGGGUAGUGGAAUUCCCGGUGUAGCAGUGAAAUGCGUAGAGAUCGGGAGGAACAUUCGUGGCGAAGGCGGCUACCUGGACCAGCACUGACACUGAGGCACGAAAGCGUGGGGAGCAAACAGG
rnacentral:rRNA from 1 species